rnacentral:lncRNA from 1 species
UAUCUCGCUCUGUCGCCCAGGCUGGAGUGCAGUGGCGCGAUCUCCGUUCACUGCAAGCUCCGCCUCCCAGGUUCACGCCAUUCUCCUGCCUCAGCCUCCUGAGUAGCUGGGACUACAGGCGCCCGCCACCACGCCCGGCUAAUUUUUGUGUUUUUAGUAGAGACGGGGUUUCACCGUGUUAGCCAGGAUGGUCUGGAUCUCUGACCUUGUGAUCCGCCCGCCUCGGCCUCCCAAAGUGCUGGGAUUACAGGCGUGAGCCACCGCGCCCGGCUAAAAUGCAGUUUCAUUAAGAGAUAGUGACCCUUUCUGAGAGUGUCUACAUUUAAUUGGGAUCAGAGCUUGAAGUUGAAAAUUUUGUGCCCUGGGACUUCAGACAUCAGAAAACAGGGUAGGAAGAUUCUCACGGGUUAGGAUUUUUCUGGUGACCCUGAGUGGGGGAGCCACUUAUUCUGCCUUCACUUAAGGCUAAACUAGACUCCCGGCCCUGCGUAGAGUUCUGAGGGACACCAGGGUCACAAGGCUAGUGAGACAGAGUUCAUUUGGAAGAAGUGAAAUAAUUUAGGAAUUCACAGAAUAUUGAUGAUGAUAUCCUUCCUCCUCCAGAUGACAAGGUAAUAAAGAAUAAUGAGAUGUGAUCAUGGGAAAUAGCCACCAUGAGCAGCAGCCACCAAGGCACAUAAAUACUGUGGAAUUGACUCUGCUGUCAGCUUGUGGGUUUCUGGAGUGACAGAUUAAACCAAACUCAGUCCAGCUUCUUGUUUACUCUGUGUAAAUCUACUCACUGUCCAGAAUCUUCAGGCCGGUGUUGCCACCACUUGUUCUGUCUGUGAUUCCCAGUGAUGAGUAGGAGGUGACCAGCAGGCAGACUGUCUCCCUAUGGGUAGGGAGCCUCAGAGUUCUGCAGGGACUGGGGUAUAGGUAGAAGAUGAAAAAAAUAUCCUUUCUGAAUCAGCUCUUUGCCUGUCUGGGCAAACCCCUACGUUUCCUAUCCACACUUUCUCUGCUCUAGGACCUAAGCCUUGGAGAGUUGCCCCCAGUUCAUUGACAAGCUCCCUACACUAGAGUCCUUUUGUAGUGGGCAUUGGGGUGCACCACCCAGAUUUCUCUUUAGAACUGGUGAACUUAUUCCCUCAAGCUGCUGGGGAUUUGCUGGCAGACAGACCUCUCCAGGAAGUGCCUUAGCUGAAGAGAGAUCCUCACUCAAGGUCACACCCCACCCCCCUUCCUGGAGCAGCCCACAUCCAAUGAGCUAGGUGUGGAAGACAGAAUAAUGGCCCCGAAGACGACUUACAUGGCAUAGGGAAAUCAGGAUUGCAGAUGGAAUUAAGGUUGAUAAUCAAGUGAUCUUAAAAUAGGAAGAUUGUACUGAAUUUAACAGGCUCGAUGUAAUCACAAGGAUCCUUAGACGUGGAAGAGGGAGGCAGAAGAGAGUGAGAUGUGACUAUGGAAGAGAAUCAGGGAGAUGUGAAAAUUACUCACUCGCCAUUGCUGGAGGAGAUGGAAGAAGGGGGUCACAAACCAAGGAAUAAAUGUGGCCUCCAGAAAGUGUGAAAGGCAAGAAAAUGGAUUCUUCCCUAGAGCCUCCAGAAAAAAGUGCGGCCCUGCCAACACCUUUAUUCUAGCCCAUGUCAGAUUUCUAGCCUAAAAAACUGUAAAAUAAUACAUUUAUGUUGUUUUAAGCCAUUUAGUUUGUAGUGAUUUGUUACGGCAGCAAUAGGAGACCAAGACACUGGGCAAAUCUGCUUCCUUCCCAAGGGCUCACUUAUAGGCGAGGCCGCAGCAGAAACAGUGAGGAGGAAGCAGUUGGAACAGAACAACCUCUCACAUGAAUAACUCUUGGCCCUCCUGUCUUGAUGCUACCAUGAAAGAAGAAAGCAUCUAAUAUUUCUCCAUAAUCUACCUCUUUAAAGUGAAAUAAUAAAUCUGAGAAUUUUAGCAGUGGACAAAAGGAUAAAGUUCAUCUGUAUCAAUGGCUUUCAAGCUUUCAUUUAGCAGAGGAACAUUUUUUAAAAAUAGAGAAUCACAGACAAACAAUAUCCAAGACAUAAAAGUGGAGCUAUCCUGAUUGAAGCCCAAGGCCCAUGGUCUUUCGCCUCCCCUGAGGAACUGAGGACGAAGGACAAAAACCAUCCACCUAGGACACUUGGCCCCUGGACUGGAGAACAGCAAAACAAAAGUUAGAACUCAAGUCUCUACCUCAGCCUGGUGCCUAGGCAAAAAGAUUGACUAUAGGCUGUUCUCAGAACACUUGUGGGACAGCCUUCUGUGGUCAAUGAGAUUUAUGCAGCAUCACGGGACAUCUGUGAAUUUCCUAUAGACAGAUCUACACCUCUUCUUACAUGUUUCUUGUGUAUGUUGCACUUUGUUAUACACUGGAUCUUCACACCUAGAGCCAGUCCCACUGGAGAUGUGAAAUAAACAGCUUACUACAUGAUGUGACUGUGUGACAACACAGUCAUCAUCUGACUCCAAACCUCUCCCCCAGCAGUCCGCCAAGAUGCCUGACACUCUACCAUUGGAGUCUCUAAGGAAUUGCCUACAAAAGGCUCCCUUCAAAAUUUAAAUACAUUUCAUUGAUUGCAAGGCUCACACUGUAUCAUUUCUAAACAUCUUUAAAAUCAGGGCCUAACAAAUCUCUGGACUCUUGCAGUUAUAAUUUUUUUAAUGGUACAUAAAUAAAUGUAGCAUCUUGCAAUCGAUGUCAUUUUAGAUUUGAAGAAAUACGGUAUGUGACUUGGGUGGAUGAGAAAUAAAUUAACCUAUUAGCACCUUUGAAGGCUGAAGCAGAUCAGAGUCCUCAAAAAAUGGAGAUAGGAGUGUGUGUGCAUGUGUGAGUGUGCAUGUGUGCAAGGUAGAGUCUCCGCACUAGCAGGGAUCUCAGCAGACAAGAACAAGCAUGACAGGGAAGGGAGGGAGACAUGGGAAAGCUUUCUUGGGCUGUGUGGAGCUUAUAUUCUGACAUAGAGAUUGAAUAAAUUAAGAUCCUCAUUUGGAUACAUGGCAAAGGUUUUUUGGAUUGUGUAAAGUUUAUAUUCUGACAUAAGAAAUUGAAUAAAUUAAGAUCCUCAUUUGUUCUUGGCAGCAAAUGAGAUUCCAAAAUGGUUGCUAGAGUUAUGUUACAAUGACAUUCCUUAUUUCAGAGUCUAUAAUCAAGCAAAUCAAGUUAAUCAAGUAAAUAUAAAAUAUACAGUUUUAAAUGUAACUCAUUCAUUCUAC